CUGUAAGGGCCCCGCUAAGACCUGUUGUUCCGCGAGCAUACUGUAAGGGCCCCACUAAGACCUGUUGUUCCAUGAGCAUACUGUAAGAGUCCCACUAAGACCUGCUUUUGGUUGGUAAUAAAUCUCCUGAUAUGCGCUACAUGAAAUGUUUGCGCUUGUUUUCAAGGACACACCUUAAAAUAUUGCCACCCUUCCCACCUCAGGACAAGCAAGCUGAUAUUAGACAGGUAAAUUGCUGAACCUGGCGCAUGGGGUGGAAAAUGCCAGCGUGCCAGUUUUAACAGGCUGAAAUUGCACACUAACGUACGUUGCGCACAAAACUAGAGCCCAAUUAGUCAAGUCACAAUGGCACCCUACUCUGAUUAUAACCUAACAGAACUUUUCUAAAAGGAAAAACAAACAGUAUUUUAUAUUCCAAUAUGUUAUAUAUAUAUAUAUAUAUAAUAUAAUUUUAAGCUAUAGUCAUACAGUUUCACAGGGCCAUAAGGGUAGUGCUCAUCAGUGGGGAAAUUGGAUCUCCCAUUUUGUUUCAUUUUAUCAACACUUAUGUACAACCAAUUGUUUAAAACUUGUGUGUUCUGGUGGACUGUUUUCAGAAUGUUUGUGGACUGUUUUUAGAAUGGUUUGUAUUCUGCUGGACUAGAGAAGAGGGAAUGAGAAUAAGGGAAGGAGAGCUCUGAAUAACUUUAACAGGUUAUGUGUGGAUGGAUUCUUGACUGAGGGAUGUAAUGCACACGUGCCCAACCAAUGUACUAUUCAUUCUGAAACCAAUUGUACUCUUUCUGUGUCUGUGCUCUUCUAUGUAUAGGUCAACUUGUCUUACCAAUAUUUAUAUGACGAAUAUGCCAAUACCUUGCUAUUACAAAAUGUAAAAUGUACAUGGACAACUGAUUCUGUCUUAACAACAAUCAGCAUGGCUCUGAAGGGGGAUGAUAUACAAGGAGAUCCAAUGGGAAUACAUUUCACAUAUCACCAGAUAUCACUGCACCUGACUGCAAUAUAAUAAAGACUACAUGAGUGAAUACAUGGGAGAAAUACUGAAAAUAGAAACAUGUCUGUUAUUAGCUAAGUACGAAUAUGUUAAUUCAUGCUAAUUCAUUAUUGCACAUAUUUGUCAAUACUGCAGUAUACUGUUAUCUCUAACAGCUGUAGUGUAAUUUAUCUCCAUUGGUCAAUACUGCACUAUACUGUUAUCUCUAACAGCUGUAGUGUAAUUUAUCUCCAUUGGUCAAUACUGCAGUAUACUGUUAUCUCUAACAGCUGUAGUGUAAUUUAUCUCCAUUGGUCAAUACUGCACUAUACUGUUAUCUCUAACAGCUGUAGUGUAAUUUAUCUCCAACACUGCUUGUUACUGUUGUUCACCAUCUGACUUUAGGAAAUCACAGAAAAGUGCUAGAUGUGAACGACAUGUGUAAUGUGGACUUGUCUGUAUGCUGUUUAGUGUAUUGCUGGCAGCAGCUUCCCACCAAGGCACAUCCUGGUUAUGUGUUAAUGUACUGAAUAAAGGUGAUUCUGAUGCAUGGUUCACAUGCAUAUGCUUUCACUGCAGAUGAAAUAAAGUAAGUUAUGAGCAGGGUUUAAAAUACCUAUAAAUGUUUACAAUGUUGACUAAAUCUUGGAAUUUCUAAGUGCUUUAAUUAAGUGGCUCAUAUUUCAAUAGCAUGUUAAUUCAGCUAUAGAAGUGUCAUACCCAUAGGGGGAACCAGUGCAUGUACCCCCAUCAGAUUUGUCCUGUUUUUGUUCUUUUUCAGAUGUUAAAUUAAUUUACUAAAAUUCCAUUUGUUUUUGUCCACAUUUUAUCAUCAUUAUUUGUCUGUCUGGUGUUUUGUGGAGGGAGCAGUAUCGUCAAGAGAGAGAGAGAGAGAGAGAGAGAGAGAGAGAGAGAGAGAGAGAGAGAGAGAGAGAGAGAGAGAGAGGGUGCCUUGACGGGCAGGACUCAUGUUUAUAAAUUAAUUUGAUGUAACCUAUUGAUUCCUUGAUGAAUAAAUAAAAAAUAAAAAUCAUGUUUUGUUGUUUCUCUGUAAUACUAGCCACCUCACAAUUUUAUGAAGU
rnacentral:lncRNA from 1 species